CCCUUAGAGUUUGAUCCUGGCUCAGAACGAACGCUGGCGGCGUGUUUAAGACAUGCAAGUCGCACGGGAUCAGUUUGGUAGUAAUACUCGACUGGUCCAGUGGCGCACGGGUGAGUAACACGUGAAUUACAUGCCCUUCAGUGGGGAAUAGCCCAGGGAAACUUGGAUUAAUACCCCAUGGUAUCGCAAGAUUAAAGGUGGCCGCAAGGCUGUCGCUGAAGGAUUGGUUCGCGCCCUAUCAGCUUGUUGGUGAGGUAACGGCUCACCAAGGCUACGACGGGUACCUGGUCUGAGAGGACGAUCAGGCACACUGGAACUGAGACACGGUCCAGACACCUACGGGUGGCAGCAGUCGAGAACAAUUCACAAUGGGGGCAACCCUGAUGGUGCAACGCCGCGUGGAGGAUGACGGUCUUCGGAUUGUAAACUCCUGUCAUCCGGGAGUAAGACCUGGUCGUUAAUAGCGAACAGGGUUGAUAGUACCGGAAGAGGAAGGGACGGCUAACUUCGUGCCAGCAGCCGCG
rnacentral:rRNA from 1 species